GACGUAGGGCGCGAGCGUUGUCCGGAUUUAUUGGGCGUAAAGAGCUCGUAGGCGGCUUGUCGCGUCGUUCGUGAAAACCUGUGGCUCAACUACAGGCUUGCGGUCGAUACGGGCAGGCUGGAGUUCGGUAGGGGAGACUGGAAUUCCUGGUGUAGCGGUGAAAUGCGCAGAUAUCAGGAGGAACACCGGUGGCUAAGGCGGCUCUCUAGUACGGUACUGACGCUGAGACGCGAAAGCGUGGGGAGCGAACAGG
rnacentral:rRNA from 1 species